rnacentral:rRNA from 1 species
GAUGAACGCUGGCGGCGUGCUUAACACAUGCAAGUCGAACGGUGAAGGCGGAGCUUGCUCUGCUGGAUCAGUGGCGAACGGGUGAGUAACACGUGAGCAAUCUGCCCCUGACUCUGGGAUAAGCGCUGGAAACGGCGUCUAAUACUGGAUACGAGCUGCGAAGGCAUCUUCAGCAGCUGGAAAGAAUUUCGGUCAGGGAUGAGCUCGCGGCCUAUCAGCUUGUUGGUGAGGUAAUGGCUCACCAAGGCGUCGACGGGUAGCCGGCCUGAGAGGGUGACCGGCCACAAUGGGACUGAGACACGGACCAGACUCCUACGGGAGGCAGCAGUGGGGAAUAUUGCACAAUGGGCGAAAGCCUGAUGCAGCAACGCCGCGUGAGGGACGACGGCCUUCGGGUUGUAAACCUCUUUUAGCAGGGAAGAAGCGAAAGUGACGGUACCUGCAGAAAAAGCGCCGGCUAACUACGUG